GAUCAUUUUGUCAAAUGUCUUUUUUUAAGGUAAAAACGCCGGAACUAUUUCUAAAAAGUAUCAGGAACUGUAGAACUCAUUCGCAUGCGAUAAGAACUCACGUUUAUUUCAGCCCUCCUAUAAAAUGAUCUGCUGCGGGAAGUUGGCAGAGCAUUUUUUCAAUUGUCUUUUUUUAGGGUAAAAACGCCGGAACUAUUUCUAAAAAGUAUCAGGAACUGUAGAACUCAUUCGCAUGCGAUAAGAACUCACGUUUAUUUCAGCCCUCCUAUAAAAUGAUCUGCUGCGGGAAGUUGGCAGAGCAUUUUUUCAAUUGUCUUUUUUUAGGGUAAAAACGCCGGAACUAUUUCUAAAAAGUAUCAGGAACUGUAGAACUCAGCUGCAUGCGAUAAGAACUCACAUUUAUUUUUGAUC
rnacentral:misc_RNA from 1 species